CCUACGGGUGGCAGCAGUGAGGAAUAUUGGUCAAUGGGCGGAAGCCUGAACCAGCCAAGUCGCGUGAGGGAGUAAGGCCCUACGGGUCGUAAACCUCUUUUGCCGGGGAGCAGUGCCCAGCUCGUGAGCUGGGAGGGAGCGUACCCGGAGAAAAAGCAUCGGCUAACUCCGUGCAAGCAGCCGCGGUAAUACGGAGGAUGCGAGCGUUAUCCGGAUGUAAUGGGUUUAAAGGUUGCGCAGGCGGCCUGUUAAGUCAGCGGUAAAAGCCCGGGGCUCAACCCCGGCGAGCCGUUGAAACUGGCGGGCUGGAGUUGGAGAGAAGUACGCGGAAUGCGCGGUGUAGCGGUGAAAUGCUUAGAUAUCGCGCAGAACCCCGAUUGCGAAGGCAGCGUACCGGCUCCACACUGACGCUGAGGCACGAAAGCGUGGGUAUCGAACAGGAUUAGAUACCCUUGUAGUC
rnacentral:rRNA from 1 species